AGAGUUUGAUUAUGGCUCAGGAUGAACGCUGGCGGCGUGCUUAACACAUGCAAGUCGAACGGAAACGUAUUGAAACCUAGUGAUAUACGUUUUAGUGGCGGACGGGUGAGUAACGCGUGGGUAACCUGCCGUAUUCUGGGGGACAACAGUUGGAAACGACUGCUAAUACCGCAUAAGACCACAGAGUCGCAUGACUCAGGGGUAAAAAACUCCGGUGGAAUACGAUGGACCCGCGUCUGAUUAGCUAGUUGGUGAGGUAACGGCCCACCAAGGCGACGAUCAGUAGCCGGCCUGAGAGGGUGAACGGCCACAUUGGGACUGAGACACGGCCCAAACUCCUACGGGAGGCAGCAGUGGGGAAUAUUGCACAAUGGGCGAAAGCCUGAUGCCAGCGACGCCGCGUGAGUGAAGAAGUAUUUCGGUAUGUAAAGCUCUAUCAGCAGGGAAGAAAAUGACGGUACCUGACUAAGAAGCCCCGGCUAACUACGUGCCAGCCGCCGC
rnacentral:rRNA from 1 species